GGACUCCUGGUGCUUACACAGUCUGUGUUUUUGCACUGACUGUAUAGAAAGAGGAGGCAAAGUAAAACUACCCCAUAUGUACCUCAGCCUAGGCCCUGUGCCUGGUCUGAAUUGUGAAUAGGGAGACAUGG
rnacentral:snoRNA from 1 species